rnacentral:SRP_RNA from 1 species
GCUGGGCAUGGUGGUGCACGCCUGUAAUCUCAGCUACUUGGGAGGCUGAGGCAGGAGAGAAUCGCUUGAACCUGGGAGGUGGAGGUUGCAGUGAGCUGAGAUCACGCCACUGCACUCCACCCUGGGUGACAGAACGAGACUGCAUUUAAAAAAAAAAAAAAAGGACUUUAGAACACUACAUUUGGAUUGUUUGUUUGUUUGUUUGUUUGUUUGUUUGUUUUUUGAGAUGGAGUCUCACUCUGUCGCCCAGGCUGGAGUGCAGUGGCACGACCUCGGCUCACUGCAGUCUCUGCCUCUGGGUUCAAGCGAUUCUCCUGCCUCAG